ensembl:lncRNA
AUCGUCUAACAAUUUGUAAUUCUUAAACGUUUUAACGUAAUAUGUGAAAAUAAGCUUCCGGUUAUACGACGUCAUUAGGGGCUUCCGCUUCCGGUAAAGCAGAACAAUUUAAACGAAGAUUGAAAAGAGGAGCCAUGCAUGCAUUCAACACGGAUCAUGGUGGGUGUCAGAGCGGUCUCGCCUGUCGUCCUUUAGGGAUCCUUCACAGUGAAGCAUGAGGAUCAGAGUACAGCUGGACUGUGGAAGUCUGUCUUUCUCCUACCCAGUCAACAGAAAACAUCUCCAAGUUCUCACACCUAUGGCGACGUGUUCACCUACUUCUGUAAUCUGGAUAAAGACACACACACCACCCUCUGAAGCUGCUACCAGAGCAGUCAUAAAUCCACUUCCCAAAGUUCCUCAUGAAGAAAUGCUG